UACGUAGGGUGCGAGCGUUGUCCGGAAUUACUGGGCGUAAAGAGCUCGUAGGUGGUUUGUCGCGUUGUUCGUGAAAACCGGGGGCUUAACCCUCGGCGUGCGGGCGAUACGGGCAGACUGGAGUACUGCAGGGGAGACUGGAAUUCCUGGUGUAGCGGUGGAAUGCGCAGAUAUCAGGAGGAACACCGGUGGCGAAGGCGGGUCUCUGGGCCUUACCUGACGCUCAGGUGCGAAAGCUAGGGGAGCGAACAGG
rnacentral:rRNA from 1 species